rnacentral:rRNA from 1 species
UGGGGAAUUUUGGACAAUGGGGGAAACCCUGAUCCAGCCAUCCCGCGUGUGCGAUGAUGGCCUUCGGGUUGUAAAGCACUUUUGGCAGGAAAGAAACGUCAUGGGUUAAUACCCCGUGAAACUGACGGUACCUGCAGAAUAAGCACCGGCUAACUACGUGCCAGCAGCCGCGGUAAUACGUAGGGUGCAAGCGUUAAUCGGAGUUACUGGGCGUAAAGCGUGCGCAGGCGGUUCGGAAAGAAAGAUGUGAAAUCCCAGAGCUCAACUUUGGAACUGCAUUUUUAACUACCUGGCUAGAGUGUGUCAGAGGGAGGUGGAAUUCCGCGUGUAGCAGUGAAAUGCGUAGAUAUGCGGAGGAACACCGAUGGCGAAGGCAGCCUCCUGGGAUAACACUGACGCUCAUGCACGAAAGCGUGGGGAGCAAACAGG